CUACGUGCCAGCAGCCGCGGUAAUACGUAGGGAGCGAGCGUUAUCCGGAUUUAUUGGGUGUAAAGGGUGCGUAGACGGAAAUGCAAGUUAGUUGUGAAAUACCUCGGCUUAACUGAGGAACUGCAACUAAAACUAUAUUUCUUGAGUAUCGGAGGGGUUUGUGGAAUUCCUAGUGUAGCGGUGAAAUGCGUAGAUAUUAGGAAGAACACCAGUGGCGAAGGCGACUUUCUGGACGAAAACUGACGCUGAGGCGCGAAAGCCAGGGGAGCGAACGGGAUUAGAUACCCCGGUAGUCCUGGCCGUAAACGAUGGGUACUAGGUGUAGGAGGUAUCGACCCCUUCUGUGCCGGAGUUAACGCAAUAAGUACCCCGCCUGGGGAGUACGACCGCAAGGUUGAAACUCAAAGGAAUUGACGGGGGCCCGCACAAGCGGAGGAACAUGUGGUUUAAUUCGAUGAUACGCGAGGAACCUUACCCGGGCU
rnacentral:rRNA from 1 species